rnacentral:rRNA from 1 species
GGCAUCGGGAUUGAAGCUUGCUUCAAUUGCCGGCGACCGGCGCACGGGUGCGUAACGCGUAUGUAACCUACCUAUAACAGGGGCAUAACACUGAGAAAUUGGUACUAAUUCCCCAUAAUAUUCGGAGAGGCAUCUCUCCGGGUUGAAAACUCCGGUGGUUAUAGAUGGACAUGCGUUGUAUUAGCUAGUUGGUGAGGUAACGGCUCACCAAGGCAACGAUACAUAGGGGGACUGAGAGGUUAACCCCCCACACUGGUACUGAGACACGGACCAGACUCCUACGGGAGGCAGCAGUGAGGAAUAUUGGUCAAUGGACGCAAGUCUGAACCAGCCAUGCCGCGUGCAGGAAGACGGCUCUAUGAGUUGUAAACUGCUUUUGUACGAGGGUAAACUCACCUACGUGUAGGUGACUGAAAGUAUCGUACGAAUAAGGAUCGGCUAACUCCGUGCCAGCAGCCGCGGUAAUACGGAGGAUUCAAGCGUUAUCCGGAUUUAUUGGGUUUAAAGGGUGCGUAGGCGGUUUGAUAAGUUAGAGGUGAAAUCCCGGGGCUUAACUCCGGAACUGCCUCUAAUACUGUUAGACUAGAGAGUAGUUGCGGUAGGCGGAAUGUAUGGUGUAGCGGUGAAAUGCUUAGAGAUCAUACAGAACACCGAUUGCGAAGGCAGCUUACCAAACUAUA